GCCGUCCUGUCUGACGCUGAGAGCGGCAGCCUGCGUCCAACAGCGUCCGACCGCAGCCUGCGGGGGCUCUCGGGCCAGCGGACCCCGUCUCCACCGCGGCGCUCCUCGCCGGGCCGAGGCCGUUCGCCCCGCAGAGGCCCCUCCCCGGCCUGCUCAGAAGACUCCACGCUCGCUUGCCCUGAUUCUCUCCGCCCUGCACUUUUGCCAGCUGAAGGUCCAGGGAGAAGAGCAACCUGGUCCACAGCCUGCAGGUGGCCCAGCAGCAGGCCGAGGAGCUGCCGCAGGAGCGGGAGAAGCUGCAGGUUGCCCAGGAGGAGCUGCAGCGCCAGCGGGACCGGCUGGAGGAAGAGCAGGAAGAGGCGGUGCAGAAUGGCGCACGGGUUCGCCGGGAGCUUGAGCGCAGCCAUAGACAACUAGAGCAGCUGGAAGGGAAGCGCUCAGUCCUGGCCAAGGAGCUGGUGGAGGUGAGGGAGGCGCUGAGCCGCGCCACGCUGCAACGGGACAUGCUGCAGGCCGAGAAGACCGAGGUGGCCGAGGCGCUGACCAAGGGUGAGGCUGGCCGCAUGGAGCUCGAGCUCUCCGUGACCAAGCUGAGGGCAGAGGAGGCCUCCCUGCAGGACUCCCUGUCCAAGCUGAGCGCCCUCAACGAGAGCCUUGCUCAGGACAAGUUGGAUCUGAACUGCCUUGUCACCCAGCUGGAGGAAGAAAAGGCCAUGCUGCAGGGCCGGCAGCGGCAGGCGGAGCAGGAGGCCACAGUGGCGCCGGCAGAGCAGGAGUGGCUGGAGGAGCUGUGGUUGGAGCAGGAGGUGGCACGGCAGGGCCUGGAGGGCUCCCUAUGAGUGGCGGAGCAGGCCCAGGAGGCGCUGGAGCAACAGCUCCCCACACUGCACCAUGAGCUCAGUUGGCUGCAGGAGCAGCUAGCACAGUCCUGGCCCCCUAGGAGGCAGCAUGGCGGGAGCUGGAGGCCGAGCGGGCCCAGCUGCAGAGUCAGCUGCAGCGUGAGCAGGAGGAGCUGCUGGCCCGGCGGAAGGCUGAGAAGGAACAGCUGAGUGAGGAGAUUGCUGCCCUGCAGCAGGAGCAUGACGAGGGCCUCCUCCUGGCCGAGAGCGAGAAGCAGCAGGCCUUGUCUCUGAAGGAGUCUGAGAAGAUGGCGCUGUCAGAGAAGUUGAUGGGUACACGGCACAGCCUGGCCACCAUCUCCCUGGAGAUGGAGCGGCAGAAACCAGAUGCCCAGAGCCGGCAGGAGCAGGACCGGGUAGGCCUGCCGUCGUAGGGAGGCUUGCGGAGCAGGAGCGCCCUCUCUCCACCGAGCUAUCCCGCGGUUUCCAGCAUCCCAUCUGGCGGACUCCUCUUCCUCUCUCUUCUCCUACUCUGGGUCUUCUAUCCUGGUGUUCCUUGAAUGCCUAUCUUCCUUUUGUGCCUCGGAACCUCUCACGCCUGCCACAAGUUACUCUUUUCCUUGGUAGUUCUGAACUUUAAAUAAGGUAAUGCCUGUAAGAAUGCCAUAAAUGCUCAAUAAUUGUCAUCUGUUAUUAUUUUCAUCAGUAACAUCAUCUGAAUCAUCAGUAUUGUCUGCUUUUAACAGCUGCAUUUUUCAUUGUCCAAAUAUAGUCACAUACAUUUGACCAUUUUAUAAUUAUUGAAUAAUAAAUUUGUUCUGCUAUUUUACAAUGAAAAAUAAUGCUGCAGAGAGCAUUUUUGCACAUGUAUCGUGGCAGAUGUAGGCCAGAGGCUCUUCUUUUAUCCAUCCUAUGGCCAACCUAUGAAUGUAUACACGUUUAAUGAGAUUUUGCCAGCAAUCAAAGCCUUCAGGGAAAAUGUCCCUAGCUCUUUACUACAUCAGAUCAAGGACUCUGGAUAAUUGGCAUAACAUCCUGGAAUAGCUGAAACAGAGAUAUUAUUCUCUGCUCUCCUCUGUUGUCUUUGUCUUUUCACGUCUUAAUAAAAGUGCUGGUGACAAGAGUGU
rnacentral:lncRNA from 1 species